rnacentral:rRNA from 1 species
GACUGAGUUCCCGCCA